UAUAGAAUCCUGUGAACUAUCGAGUCUUUGAACGCAAGUUGCGCUCGAAGCCAUUAAGCCAAAGGCACCUCUGCCUGGGCUUCACACAUCGUUGCCCUCCACACCUUUCUCGAAAGCAUCAGGGGGUGGACAAUGGCCUCCCGUGUAUCACCCUGCGUGGUUGGCACAAAUGUCGAGUCCCUAGCAACGAACGUCAAGACAAUCGGUGGUUAUUAAACCUCUGUUGCCUGUUAUGCACUUUUGCCGCGCUGCUUUACUUCGAUGGAGCUUUCAACGUGACCCCAGAUUAGGCGGGGUUACCUCCUGAA
rnacentral:rRNA from 1 species